UCUUGACUGAAAUGAAGGAAUUAAGAGUCAGUGACUUGACUGGAAGUGCUUCAGAAUUUCCACCGCUUGAGAACAUGACAGGCCUAACAAGAUUGAUGUUGAGGAGCUGCAAUUUAUCAGGGAAGAUUCCUUCUUACAUAGCUAAUAUGCCUCAAUUGAAAAUUCUGUAAGUUUUCCACCUACCUACCUUCACUCUGAUUUGUUUUCUUUCCUUUCUUGAAAUCCUUUUCUUUCCCCAUUCCAUAACCAGUUGUUUUAACAGAAUCAUGUAUGCGGGUCUUCUCUUUUAUUGUAGCGAAUUCUGCUCAAUGUUUUUAGACUAGGAAACAGAAGGAGGGGUUAUUGAAAUUGAGUCUUAAUUAAAUGUGAACAUCAUUGUAGUUCUAUUUCAGAUGAUACAGCACUUCUGGAGUACCUCCAACAUUUGUGACCCUUUAAUUGCACAUGUUUAUGCAUGGUUUCUACUAUGCAUAUGCUUUCACUGAUUGAUCGUCUUCUUUCAGUCUAGAAGAUCAAUGGAAAUUUUUUGGCUCAUAAAUACAUGGUUUUGUUAGCACUUAAGCUCCCUCUCAUGUGGCAUUUCAACCUUGCCGAAAUUCUUUCAUUACUUAAUCUCAAGUUGGUAA